rnacentral:rRNA from 1 species
GUGGCGCACGGGUGAGUAACGCGUGGGAACCUACCUUUUAGUACGGGACAACGUCUGGAAACGGACGCUAAUACCGUAUACGCCCUCAGGGGGAAAGAUUUAUCGGUGAAAGAUCGGCCCGCGUUGGAUUAGCUAGUUGGUGAGGUAAUGGCUCACAAAGGCGACGAUCCAUAGCUGGUCUGAGAGGAUGAUCAGCCACAUUGGGACUGAGACACGGCCCAAACUCC